AUGCGCCGUCUCGUACAGCAUCUCGUGCACCUCGGAGACGCCCUUGGGCGCCACGCGCAGCAGGGUGAGCGCACGGAUCACCAGCGAGUUGCGCCAGUAGGAGAGGCGCCCCAUCUUGAGCCGCGUCCACCAGGGGAGCGCCGGCGGCAGCGCCAGGUCCAGCUCCUUGACGACAUCGAAGCCGACCUCCUUAGCGACGACGGCGAUCUCGUCCUGCCGGCGCAGGCCCGGGAGGGCGUCGCCGCGCUCGAUGCCGUGGAUGGCCUCGACGUGCUCCGGGUCGUCGGCGCGGUACAGCGGGGUGGUGACCCACUCGUAGGAGACGUAGAGGCCCCCUGGCUUGAGCACGCGGAACACCUCGCCGUAGACGUCCUGCAGCCUGGGCGCGUGGCAGGUGGCCUCGAUGGAGUAGGCGCCGUCGAAGGACGCGUCCGGGAACGGCAUGGCCAUGAAGUUGCCGCACACCACCUCGCAUUGCGCGUCCAGGCCGGCCUUGCGGUUGUGCGAGCGGGCGCGGUUGACCUGGUACUCGUUGAUGGUGAUCCCGACGACGUCGGAGCCGGAGUGCGCCGCGAUGGCGCGCAUGGGCCCGCCGACGCCGCAGCCGACGUCGAGCAGCCGCUUCCCGGGGCGCGCCUCGAGCAGGUCGGCGACGCGCUCCUCGUGCACCCGCGUCGCCUCCCGGUGCGACCGGCCGGGCAGAGAGGGCGAGAAGUGGAACGACUGGCCCCAGCCCCACUCGUAGAUGUCGGUGACGAGGUUGUAGAAGGUGUCGACGAAGGCCGGCACCUUGUCGGCGGUGGCCGCGGCGGCCGUCUCCUUGGGGCUGCGGAAGAAGGACCAGUACUGGGAAUACCUGUCCCCGACCUUGUCGUCGGCGAUGGAUCCCAUCUGGAGGUCGACGGCGCGCUUCCCCUGCACUUCCGCGGCGCCCAUCACCCACACGAACCAGUACACCAGCGCGAAACCCGCCGCCGCCAGCGUCCAGGCCAUGGUAGCCGGCUCCAUCUCCCCGAUCUGGGAGGAGAGAAAGGUUUGACUCGCGAGGAGAAAGCGGCUCCAGAUGGGGGGAGGAGUCCUGAGAUUGCGAUCUGGGUCUGGUCUGAGGUGGUAAAUGGGAGAGAGAUUUAUGCCCAGCUGGAUUCGAAACGGACGACGGCAGAGGAUGCCGUUGCUGGUUUCAGAUCUGGACUCUGCUCAGCUCCGCCCGGCCCGUGUUUGCACUCUCAUCAGCUAUUGCACACGGCUUGGACCUGGGCUGGAAGUUUUUUUUUUUAG
rnacentral:rRNA from 1 species